rnacentral:lncRNA from 1 species
CUGCAUGUGCCAAGAAAUAAGGACACUAGAGUCUUUUCACGCCACCACUAAUUUAUUUUAGAAAAACUAGAAUUGCACUUUUUCAUGGUAGGGAGGGUCUUCAUGGUAGGGAGGGAGUAUGUCAUAAAAGAAAGUACCGGUCAAAGAUUUGUGUAGGAAACUUUGCCAAUAUCCUAAAUGACAAGUAAAAUUGUAGAACAAUGAGCCCGCGGCACAUAGCACCACCGUCCACCUUCGGAUCACUAUGGGGGCCCGCUCUGACUCUACCCACCAUCUAGUGCUGCCUCUACGCUCCAUGGCUUGCUGCUGUUCACCAUCCAUGGGGCCUUCCCCUCCCUCUUGGGGGAGUAGGAGAAGGAAACCCUCAUCCCAAACUUGAAGCUCUAACGGCUGAGCUUUAGAGCGAGAUCUUUGCAUUGCGAAGUGGUAGACUGGACACUGGUAGCAAACGGAAGAGACCCCUCAGAAUAUUUUUUUUUAUCAAGAGAUAGUGUAACGAUGCCUUAGAUAAUGUUCCACCUUUUGAAGCUUUGAGGUGAUGCCACCUAUGAUUCUAGGUGGACACUAGAGAAAUUCUAGAAAUUCUCAAAAAAAUCAAAACAUCUAGCCAUCAAUUGGUAGGCUCAAAUCAUCAUAGCCAUUGGAUCUAUUAUGUUUUCUAAAAAAUUACCCACCUACACCAUUAUGAAAAUAGCCUAAAGUAACCCCAUAAAUCUAUAUCUAAGUUACCCACCUCUACCAUUAUAUAAAAUAAACUAAAGUAACCCCCUAAUCUUCAUUAGAAUUACCCACUUAUGCCAUUAUAAACAAUAUUUGAAAAACUCCCUAAAUUUGCAACUAAAUUGCCCACUGCUAAUACUUAAAAACAACUUAAAGUAUCCCCUUAAAUUUGCAUCUAUAUUACCCACAUAUGCUAUUAUUAAAAAUAACAUCAGGUAACCAUACAGUUAAUCCAAAUCACCUUAGUUAAAAAUAUACACUAACAUAUGAUUCUAAAUCGUCUAUUUCUUACGCUAUUGGUAUAUG